AAAACUUUCAACAACGGAUCUCUUGGUUCUGGCAUCGAUGAAGAACGCAGCGAAAUGCGAUAAGUAAUGUGAAUUGCAGAAUUCAGUGAAUCAUCGAAUCUUUGAACGCACAUUGCGCCCCUUGGUAUUCCGAGGGGCAUGCCUGUUCGAGCGUCAUUAU
rnacentral:rRNA from 1 species